UUGGAGGGCAAGUCUGGUGCCAGCAGCCGCGGUAAUUCCAGCUCCAAUAGCGUAUAUUAAAGUUGUUGCAGUUAAAAAGCUCGUAGUUGAAUUUCGAGACCGGUUUACCGGUCGUGCCUUUGUACGUACUGGUAUUAUUGGUUUCUCCUUUCUGACGAAUCUUAAUGCCAUUAAUUUGGUGUUUUGGGGAAUCAGGACUGUUACUUUGAAAAAAUUAGAGUGUUUAAAGCAGGCUCACGCUUGAAUACAUUAGCAUGGAAUAACGGAAUAGGACGUUUGAUUUUAUUUUGUUGGUUUCUAGGAUCGACGUAAUGAUUAAUAGGGAUAGUUGGGGGCAUUAGUAUUCAAUUGUCAGAGGUGAAAUUCUUGGAUUUAUUGAAGACUAACUACUGCGAAAGCAUUUGCCAAGGAUGUUUUCAUUAAUCAAGAACGAAAGUUAGGGGAUCGAAGACGAUCAGAUACCGUCGUAGUCUUAACCAUAAACUAUGCCGACUAGGGAUCGGAUGAUGUUAAUUUUUUAAUGACUCAUUCGGCGCCUUACGGGAAAC
rnacentral:rRNA from 1 species